rnacentral:rRNA from 1 species
GACAGAGGGUGCAAACGUUGUUCGGAAUUACUGGGCGUAAAGCGCGUGUAGGCGGCCAUGCAAGUCGGAUGUGAAAGCCCUCGGCUCAACCGGGGAAGUGCACUCGAAACUGCAAGGCUAGAGUCUCGGAGAGGAUCGUGGAAUUCUCGGUGUAGAGGUGAAAUUCGUAGAUAUCGAGAGGAACACCGGUGGCGAAGGCGGCGAUCUGGACGGAUACUGACGCUGAGACGCGAAAGCGUGGGUAGCAAACAGG